rnacentral:rRNA from 1 species
GGGACGAACGCUGGCGGCGUGCUUAACACAUGCAAGUCGAGCGGAAAGGCCUUUCGGGGUACUCGAGCGGCGAACGGGUGAGUAACACGUGAGUAAUCUGCCCAUCGCUUCAGGAUAGCCAUCGGAAACGGUGAUUAAUACUGGAUAUGACAUUCCUUCGCAUGUUGGGGUGUGGAAAGUUUUUUCGGCGGUGGAUGUGCUCGCGGCCUAUCAGCUUGUUGGUGGGGUAAUGGCCUACCAAGGCUUUGACGGGUAGCCGGCCUGAGAGGGUGACCGGCCACACUGGGACUGAGACACGGCCCAGACUCCUACGGGAGCAGCAGUGGGGAAUACGUGGACAAUGGGCGGAAGCCUGAUCCAGCAACGCCGCGUGAGGGAUGACGGCCUUGGGUGUAACCUCUUCAGCACAGACGUAAGUUUUGUCGUUUUUUGGUGUAAGUGUACGGUAUGGUUGACAGAAGAACGGACGGACCAACGUACGUGACCAGCACGCCGCGUAACUCGUGAGCGG